CUCCGCCCGCACUCGCUCCCCCACCCACCCGCGCAGCUCUCUUCCCCGACCCCUUCCUUCCCCGUCUGCUCGAGCCCCCGCCGCCAACUGCUACUCCUCCACCGCCUCGCCUCUUCCUCCUCCUUGCCGUCCCUUCGCUUGCACGCAGGCCAUCGUGGCCACGCGCUUCGCGGGCGAACCCGAUCUCCACCGCCUGCUCCGGGACAACGCCUCUUGAGUGAAGGAGGAUGCCCAAACCAUGGUCGAGCCAACGGUGGGGGCCGGGUCAAGGCUGCGGUUGGCGGCCUGGAUGCAGGCGAUGGUGGCGGACGUUGGGGGUCUGGCGGGCGUGGCGGCCGACGGGAUCUGCCAGACAUGUAGGCAGCUGGAAGGGCAGCAGCGGUCUGUGGGGCGUCGACCGGUCCAGCAGCCGCCUUGAUGGAGAAGGGCCAUGCAGGAUUCGUGCCCCUGCACAUCCAGGAGGCUGGUCUGGAUUAGGUCCGUUUCUUGGAGUAUGACAAGCUGAUGGUGAUCCUCACGCUGACAAAAUAAUGGAACAUUUAGUGCUGGUGCUUCUGAAGGUAAGUUCGCCUUCUGAUCUGUUUCUUCUCUUAAAAUAAGACUACCCUGUUUCACAAAUUGUUUUGUAACCUGCGAAUGUGGUUUAGGAUAUCUAUUUUGCUGUUGUAAGUGUGAAAAAUGGAGUGUAACAACCAUUAUACUGCAAGUUAGUCUACUGAAAUUUGGCCAUGGCUAAACAGGGCUUUUAUCUUGAGCUGCUCAUACUACUAUGACAAGGUGGAAAGUCAAGUGCUUAUUGAUCAAAGAAGAAGAAGCAUAAUAAGUGUGCACUUUCAGAGUUUCAGAGUGGGGUUGCUUCCUCUGCCCCCUUCAUGUGGUUUAGGGCUUUUAUCUUGAGCUGCUCACUACUAUGACAAGGUGGAAAGUCAACUGCUUAUUGAUCGAAGAAGAAGAAGCAUAAUAAGUGUGCACUUUCAGAGUUCCGGAGUGGGGUUGCUUCCUCCGCGCCCUUCAUAUGGUUGAGGGCUUUUAUCUUGAGCUGCUCAUACUACUAUGACAAGGUGGAAAGUCAAGUGCUUAUUGAUCGAAGAAGAAGAAGCAUAAUAAGUGUGCACUUUCAGACUUUCAGAGUGGGGUUGCUUCCUCCGCGCCCUUCAUAUGGUUGAGAAACCUUAGACCUUGUUCACUGGGUUUCUUCUUCCUUUUCCUGGGCCAUAGCAACACAUUUGCAACAGCACACCAGACUCAAUUUAGUUGACUAGCAACAGAGCAAAGGUGUUCUCUAGGUUCUGCAUCAUCAGUGUGCAGGUCUAGAUUCUGCAACAUUGGUGACCAGUUGUUCUCUAGGAUUCUGCAGCGUCAUCCUCAGGAAGAGAAGGGAGGGGAGGACGAGGUGAAGAGAGGAGGGAGAGGGAGACGGCGAGCAUAUGGAGAAGCGCCACAAGGAGCAGACCUGGACAUCGGCGGCAACAAGGCCAUGCCCUCAUCCACCUCCGUGCGGGCACCCUGGUCUGGUCUACGCUAAAUGAAUGUUGGUGUUCUAGAUCUGGCUGUAUCUGCAGUGCACGAGUGUGUCGACGAGAAGGAGCAACAACUCCUUGGACAAUGUUUUGUUUCACUUUUCAAGGAUGAGUAUCUUUACUUUGAAAAUGAACUCGUCAUAUUUCUAUUGGAAAUGAAGUGAUGUUGCUUCCCAGGUAAAUAACUGAAUUCUCUUCUACUUUAGUAGAUUCAGUAACUUUGCUUUAGAGUUGUUGUUUAAAAGUAGCACUACCCCUGAGUAACUAUAUCAAUGGCUGCCACUAUGUAAAUCUUAGUUCCACUAGAUAUGAUAAUCAUGGUUCUUCUGUCUUGGUCUGAUGAUUUUAUACAUGCCAACAAGCAUCCAUGCGAUAUGUUCUUUACUUCUGCACCUAACAGCAUGUUUUCCCACAAAAAAGUACACGUGCCGCGGCAAUCAUGCGUUUUAUCAUUUUAAUCAUUUGUGUGGAGUAGUAUUAAUGUUCUUGCCGGCAUUGGUUAACAGAAAUCACUAUAAGAACUUUAUCCUACAUGCCGUAUUUCUCUUUGUCUCUUUUUCCUUAUUUCUGUUUCCUCGGUUUCUUCUAGCGUAUUUUGAUGUUUAUUUUCAGUCAAAAGGAUGAGAGAUGGAGCUUGGGCCAACAAUCUCUGAGAAGAGCUGUUGUGUGCCUUCCAAACAUGUCUCUCUCGUGUGUAUGUUCUGCAUAAUUUACCAGUAGCCUGCCUAUAAUGUUCAGCUUCUUAAUUGUAUAGAACCCUCCAAACUGUUAAUUUGUUGCUCCUGUAGGCUGAUUAAUUGACCUUGGGUUUCUUCUACCUGGACAAGUUUUCUAUCGCAUACACACAUGCGUUGUUGUAGUAGUAGAGCUCCCUCCAAUCCAUAUUAAUUGACGCAGACUUACUACAUCUUUAGUAGUUUAAUGGUAGUCAUAUUAUUUUAAUGGAAAUCAAUUAAUUUUAUGCCGUUUGUACGCUCGGUUGUCGGCUGGCCCCGGUGGAGCCUUGCAGUGGCUGGGCGUGACCAUGCUCUGCCUCCGCUGGUGAGAGCCGUGAGGAGUCAGAGAGGGAGAUUGAGGAGGAGGAAGAUGACACUCCCCAAGGCCAAGCUAUGUCAGGCUGCACCAGCAAGGAUGGCACUGAAAUAUCAGCAAGGACCAGCACAAAAAGAAAGGGAGAAUAAAUGGGACCAAUUAACUUACUUCUGUUUAAGAGUACACUACUUUUGACUUUGGAGUCGCACUGGUGAAUGGGGCGUCGCAUGGUCUAUGCUGGAGGUGUUCACAUAUAACAAGUUCACUAUUUGUUCCAUUGGUCAGUUGUAUAAUCUGUGGGCGUAUUUAAGUUGAACUAUGCUCCUUCCUUGGUAUUUGGAGACAAGAUACUGGCAGUUUUUAUGUUAUCAGACUGUUUAUUAGUUAUCUGUAGUUUUAUAACAAUCUCCAUUGUCAAUGGUAGUUCAGAUUCUUCAGGAAGAAUGGGUCUUGUAUUUAUAUUAUUUAAUUGUGCAAUAAUCGAUAGAUAACAAAAGAUAGAUAAUUAAGAAGUUUACAGAUUUGAGUAUGAAAGUUUCACCCCAGUGAGUGUGGUAUUGAAUCAUAACUCUAAUAGUGGUUUAGUUUAUUCUAGGUUACCAGUACAAAGUAUGAAGACUUGCAGAGUUUAAAUGGUAAAGUAGCAAAACAGUAUUUUGUACUUGGUUUAUACUCCGUACUUCAUAGCUUUAUCAUACCCAGUUGCUCCCUUUGCCAUAUUUUUUUUUCACGGGGCCAAAUAAUUUGGUAGCCGAGCAAUGAGCAAUGUUUGCCUCUGUUUUGUAUUUGCCUCUGUUUUUUCACUAAUAUAAUCACGUAAGCCACGGUGCAUGUUUUUGCCAUGAUUUCCUUCGGUUGGAUUUCGUCGAUUUAGGUGCUGA
rnacentral:rRNA from 1 species